rnacentral:ncRNA from 1 species
AAAUUGAAGAGUUUGAUCAUGGCUCAGAUUGAACGCUGGCGGCAGGCCUAACACAUGCAAGUCGAGCGGUAGCACAGAGAGCUUGCUCUCGGGUGACGAGCGGCGGACGGGUGAGUAAUGUCUGGGAAACUGCCUGAUGGAGGGGGAUAACUACUGGAAACGGUAGCUAAUACCGCAUAAUGUCGCAAGACCAAAGUGGGGGACCUUCGGGCCUCAUGCCAUCAGAUGUGCCCAGAUGGGAUUAGC